rnacentral:rRNA from 1 species
UACGUAGGGGGCAAGCGUUGUCCGGAUUCGUUGGGUUUAAAGGGUGCGUAGGCGGCUAAUUAAGUCAGUGCUGAAAUAUCCCGGCUUAACCGGGAGGGUAGCAUUGAUACUGAUUAGCUUGAGUGCAGACGAGGCAGGCGGAAUUGGCGGUGUAGCGGUGAAAUGCUUAGAUAUCGUCAAGAACACCGAUAGUGUAGACAGCUUGCUAGGGUGCAACUGACGCUGAGGCACGAAAGUGUGGGGAUCAAACAGG